CGCGUAGGCGGCGCAGACAGUCAGAUGUGAAAUUCCUGGGCUUAACCUGGGGGCUGCAUUUGAUACGUGUAUGCUUGAGUGGGGAAGAGGGUCGUGGAAUUCCCUGUGUAGAGGUGAAAUUCGUAGAUAUUGGGAAGAACACCGGUGGCGAAGGCGGCGACCUGGUCCUUGACUGACGCUGAGGCGCGAAAGCGUGGGGAGCAAACA
rnacentral:rRNA from 1 species